GGCUGCUCCUGCCAGGGUUCUGAGACAGCAGGGAUGGAUCUGAGCAAGAUUCCCAAAAUUCUGGCAUUUCUAACAGCACAAACACAAUGAAUGCCCUGAUGGUGAUGGCAACUUUCAGGUUUCCUGCUGAUAACCACAGAGUGGCUUCAGCUCCUUUGUUCCGGGGGACAAUGGUAACCAAUGUUCCAGUGACCUCCAGUGGGGAGCGGCGAGAAUACAGCGCCCCUGGGCCGGACAGGAUCCUCCUGCAGGACGGACAGACGGACCAGGGCUGCGAGAAAACCGCCCUCGAUUUUUAUUUAACAGUUCAAACUCACCCCUGUCCCUCUGGCGCAGAAACUCAGGUGAAAAUCUUCCCUGUCUGCACAACAGGACCUUGGACAAAGCUGCCUGAGCCCAACCAGCCCCAAAUCCUGCAGGUUCCUCACCUGUUCAUCAGUCAGCACAAGCCAGGGGCUCUGUCUCAUUCCUGGGUGUCUCCCGGUGACUUCUGAGCCACCAAGAACCAAAGAGUUUUAGUCCAAGCUCAAUCCCCCCCUUCCUGUUUUUGGUGGGGACAAAAGGAGGAUGGCAAUUUGGAAACCACGAGUCCUGAUCACCAUCUGGCCCUGAUGGAUACGGGCAGAACUCUGGGUAAUAAAUGCAGGAUUUAUUUAAACUCAGCCGAACAGAGAGCAGGGGAGCACAUCAGGCACACCCAGCAAGGUGAACUCACAGGGACCACCUUGAAAUGGGACAAGAACCCAAAUCCUGGAAUGGUGCUCUGGAUCCGAGUCAGGAGGGACACCAGGACUAAACCAAGACUAAAACGCUCUCCUGAUCCCACCUUUCACAGCCCCAGAGCUGCAGGAUGUUCAUCCAGAUUGCUCCAGCCACUGCUGCUUUUGGAGCCCCUGGAGGAACCCACAGCAGCUCCUGAGGUUUGGUGUUCCUGGAGAGACACCCCAGCCCC